CUUAGUUCUCCUUCUCUCAGCCUCACAAGCAUGUGUUCGUCUAAGUCCCAGCUUAGCUCCACGCCUUCUCCAUCACACCACACCGCUAACUAGAUGCCUCCGCUCCCUCUCAUCCGUUGCCCAGAUUGCAAUGCACGCUACAUGAUGUGGUUCGUCUCGGGAAUGGAAGAAAACCCAGGCAGGCAUUUCUACAAGUGCGAAAGGCAUGGAUUUUUUGAUGUGCGAGAAGAAGUACACAGUACUUCAGCUCACGGUGGGGAUACAUGAUUUCACAUGCAUCAGCCUAUCGCCACGUAUCACUGCUUGAACAGAAUCAAGCAUGGCUGAAGAACAUUUAAAUGUUGGGCGUCCUGAAUUUGCUGCUCCUGGUCAUGAUCUUCAUGCACAAGCUCUGAAGCUCCCCCCGCCCCCCUUGCGAAGGAUUUGCUCUAGAUCUCCUGUGUACCACGUGCAAUGGAUUUGCUCUAGUCCCCAUUUGUACUUCGUGCGAUUGAUUUGCUCUAGUUCCCUAUGUAUUUAUCCUUUUCGGUGUGCCAGUACAUAUUGCAUCCUAUGUACGCAGCAGACUGGCCUAUCAAUAAUACUCCUACAACGGUGGUGUGCAUGGACCAUUGAAUCCGGUUUGAA